AUCUUCGUUCUAUUUCAUAUUUCCAGGUAAAAUUUUAGUUAACAAAUAAAACACUGAUUUAAUGAAGAAAGCCUUAACUUGCAAAGGAUGAGGCUUAUAAAUGUUGAAACAAAGAUUGCCUAUGGGCAAAAAUGUGGAAAAAAUGAAGCCUGCCUCUGCUUGCUAUUGUUCCUGAUGACACUACACUCCAGGCCACUCUCAAGCUGCUCAUGGCUUAUCCACAGAGGCAUUUCUCCAGGUUAGCUGAAGAAGAUCCCAAACAGCCCUUCUAUGUACUACCAGUACAUAGUGAUUUAUUCCAUACCAGCUCAGGAGCCUGAGACUACGAUAAGGAUUUAAGAUGUCUACUUUUACACAGAAGGAACUGGCACAGUGUCAGUAAUUUAUGGCAUUAUAAGUAAUGGACAAAAAAAAGCUUUAUCACACAGCCUGAGGUUUGUUACCAUGUUUAACAAGAGCCAAGCAAGAAAGUGAAAGAGAAGGCAAAACAGAAGGGAGAUGGGACCAAAAACCAACAUGGCAGGGCAAAGCUAUUUCAAGGAUGAAUAUUGAAUUGUUUAA